rnacentral:rRNA from 1 species
AGAGUUGAUCCUGGCUCAGAAUCAACGCUGGCGGCGCGCUUAACACAUGCAAGUCGCACGAGAAAAGGGCAACCUGAGUAAAGUGGCGUACGGGUGAGUAACACGUGGAUCAUACACCUUUUAGUGGGGAAUAACUUUGGGAAACCGAAGCUAAUACCGCAUAAGCCCGAGAGGGGGGAAAGCAGCAAUGCGCUGAAAGAAUUAUCCGCGGCUGAUUAACUAAUUGGUUAAGUUAUUGCCCCCCAGGCUUGAUUCGGUACCCGGCCUGAGAGGGCUCACGGCCACACUGGCACUGAAACACGGGCCAGACUCCUACGGGAGGCAGCAGUGGGGAAUCUUGCACAAUGGGGGAAACCCUGAUGCAGCGACGCCGCGUGAGUGAUGAAGCCCUUCGGGGUGUAAAGCUCUUUCGACGGGAACGAUAAUGACUGUACCCGGAGA